CAAUAGCGUAUAUUUAAGUUGUUGCAGUUAAAAAGCUCGUAGUCGGGUUUUGGCUGAGAACGAUCGGUCCGCCGUUAGGUGUGCACUGAUUGGUCUCAGCUUCCUGGUGAGGAGGUGUGCUUCACGGCCACUUAGUCACCGUGGUUACUUUGAAAAAAUUAGAGUGUUCAAAGCGGGCUUACGCUUGAAUAUAUUAGCAUGGAAUAACACCAUAGGACUCCUGUCCUAUUUCGUUGGUCUCGGGACGGGAGUAAUGAUUAAGAGGAACAGUUGGGGGCAUUCGUAUUUCAUUGUCAGAGGUGAAAUUCUUGGAUUUAUGAAAGACGAACUUCUGCGAAAGCAUUUGCCAAGGAUGUUUUCAUUGA
rnacentral:rRNA from 1 species